rnacentral:rRNA from 1 species
CUGCGUGGAAGGGCCAUCGCUCAACGGAUAAAAGCUACCCUGGGGAUAACAGGCUUAUCUCCCCCAAGAGUCCACAUCGACGGGGAGGUUUGGCACCUCGCUGUCGGCUCAUCACAUCCUGGGGCUGCAGUAGGUCCCAAGGGUUGGGCUGUUCGCCCAUUAAAGUGGUACGCGAGCUGGGUUCAGAACGUCGUGAGACAGUUCGGUCCCUAUCCGUCGCAGGCGUAG